rnacentral:rRNA from 1 species
UACGGGGGGGGGCAAGCGUUGUUCGGAAUUACUGGGCGUAAAGCGCACGUAGGCGGCUUUUUAAGUCAGGGGUGAAAUCCUGGAGCUCAACUCCAGAACUGCCUUUGAUACUGAGAAGCUUGAGUCCGGGAGAGGUGAGUGGAACUGCGAGUGUAGAGGUGAAAUUCGUAGAUAUUCGCAAGAACACCAGUGGCGAAGGCGGCUCACUGGCCCGGUACUGACGCUGAGGUGCGAAAGCGUGGGGAGCAAACAGG